rnacentral:misc_RNA from 1 species
GACGAACCACACAAACGUUAUUCGGAAUUACUGGGCUUAAAGGGUGCGUAGGCUGUGCGGAAAGUUGGGUGUGAAAUCCCCUGGCUCAACCAGGGAAUUGCGCUCAAAACUACCGUGCUGGAGGAAGACAGAGGUGAGCGGAACUUCGGGUGGAGCGGUGAAAUGCGUUGAUAUCCGAAGGAACACCGGUGGCGAAAGCGGCUCACUGGGUCUUUUCUGACGCUGAUGCACGAAAGCUAGGGGAGCAAACGGG